AUUGAACGCUGGCGGCAUGCUUUACACAUGCAAGUCGAACGGCAGCGCGGGCUUCGGCCUGGCGGCGAGUGGCGAACGGGUGAGUAAUGCAUCGGAACGUGCCCAGUAGUGGGGGAUAGCCCGGCGAAAGCCGGAUUAAUACCGCAUACGACCUGAGGGUGAAAGCGGGGGACCGAAAGGCCUCGCGCUAUUGGAGCGGCCGAUGUCGGAUUAGCUAGUUGGUGGGGUAAAGGCUUACCAAGGCGACGAUCCGUAGCUGGUCUGAGAGGAGGACCAGCCACACUGGGACUGAGACACGGCCCAGACUCCUACGGGAGGCAGCAGUGGGGAAUUUUGGACAAUGGGGGCAACCCUGAUCCAGCCAUGCCGCGUGCGGGAAGAAGGCCUUCGGGUUGUAAACCGCUUUUGUUCGGGAAGAAAUCCUCUGGGCUAAUACCCCGGGGGGAUGACGGUACCGGAAGAAUAAGCACCGGCUAACUACGUG
rnacentral:rRNA from 1 species